UACGUAGGGGGCUAGCGUUGUCCGGAUUCAUUGGGCGUAAAGAGCUCGUAGGCGGCCUGUUGCGUCCGCUGUGAAAGCCCGGGGCUCAACCCCGGGUCGGCAGUGGAUACGGGCAGGCUAGAGGUAGGUAGGGGAGAAUGGAAUUCCCGGUGUAGCGGUGAAAUGCGCAGAUAUCGGGAGGAACACCGGUGGCGAAGGCGGUUCGCUGGGCCGUACCUGACGCUGAGGAGCGAAAGCGUGGGGAGCGAACAGG
rnacentral:rRNA from 1 species